rnacentral:lncRNA from 1 species
AUGACCAGAUGUGAGGGUCCAGUGGAUGGACCAUGGGGAUGGAAACACAGAGGAUGCUCAGGGUCUGGUAGUCACGGUCUGAGGGGGAACAAAGACCCUUCCCUUCCCCCACAGCUAGAUGCACAUGGGCGUGGGGACUCCGGUACAACACCAACCCACAAGACCUGGGGCGUCCAGCGCAGCCUCAAACCCAGGGCAUCUCUGCACUCUCAUCGCGACGUCGCUCUGGAUGCUGUUUGCAUAUCCUUGGGGAGUCACUGCUUUGGCACAACAGUCCUGCGAGGUGGAUCUUACUAUGUUUUCAGGAUGGCCUGGAACUCAGAGUUCUGCAUCUGCCUUCUAAGCACUGGGAUUAAAAGAAUGCUUAUAAUCACCCACUGUACCUGGCUGGAAUUCCGUCUGUUCUCAUCACACGGACAUGGCUGA